UUAUUUAAAGGCCGAUAUUUAUCGCACACUAGUGCUCACAAGGAAUAACAUGCAUGGACUGUUCAUACGACCCUUAUCACCAAUGGGUGGCCCGCCUGUGAUCCGUAGCACUACUCCUGGGAUCCGUAGCACUACUCCUGGGAUGAUACCUCGAGGACCAGGUCCAAGUAUCAGGCCACCAACGGCUGGAAGUACGCAAGUGAUGCCUGGGCCUCGGAUGAUGCAAACUCCCGCUCGGCCAAUGAUGCCGGCCAUUAGAUCUUCUAUGGUGCGAGUCGUGCGACCUAUAAUGUAAAGCCACCGUGCUAUGAUUACAAACCCAGAUAUCCGAAAACGACUCUGCUAAAUAUCCACACUGGUUUUAAAGUCGAUCGAAGAGUUAUAUUGCCCAUCUGCGUUGAUGUCUGCAGUUCAAUAAAAUGCGAGUGACUCGGACUAUCACGGUUUCUUGUAAAUUAAUGAACCUUCCAUUAGCUUUCUGCAUAUUUCUUACAGACCAUAGUGUUUUGCGUGAGGGGUUUGUGUAUGUGUAUCAAUUACAUGGACGUUUUGUUAUGUACUGUUAGGUGGAUUUUCAUCUUGUUGUUCAUGUGUUUUUUUUUUUUUUUUUUUUUUUUUUUUUUUUUUGCCAUGUUUUCAUGUGGUCUGCUUGUGUAACAUUCGACUCGAAACUCAAUGUACGUCUUGAUAACUCCUAAAGUCAGAAUAUGCUAAAAUCACAUGCAAUUCAAACACGACAAAAACCGGGCAGAAAGUUUAUUGAAUGUAGAAGUGAACAAGAUUUAUCAGAAUAUCAACUAGAUUUUUUUUCACUUACUCUGCAAUAAAUCAGAAACCGCAAUA